GAAAAGCCCCGGCUUACUACGUGCCAGCAGCCCGCGGUAAUACAUAGGUGGCAAGCGUUGUCCGAAAUUAUUGGGCGUAAAGGGCUCGCAGGCGGUUUCUUAAGUCUGAUGUGAAAGCCCCCGGCUCAACCGGGGAGGGUCAUUGGAAACUGGGGAACUUGAGUGCAGAAGAGGAGAGUGGAAUUCCACGUGUAGCGGUGAAAUGCGUAGAGAUGUGGAGGAACACCAGUGGCGAAGGCGACUCUCUGGUCUGUAACUGACGCUGAGGAGCGAAAGCGUGGGGAGCGAACAGGAUUAGAUACCCUGGUAGUCCACGCCGUAAACGAUGAGUGAUAAGUGUUAGGGGGUUUCCGCCCCUUAGUGCUGCAGCUAACGCAUUAAGCACUCCGCCUGGGGAGUACGGUCGCAAGACUGAAACUCAAAGGAAUUGACGGGGGCCCGCACAAGCGGUGGAGCAUGUGGUUUAAUUCGAAGCAACGCGAAGAACCUUACCAGGUCUUGACAUCCUAUGACAAUCCUAGAGAUAGGACGUCCCCUUCGGGGGCAGAGUGACAGGUGGUGCACGGUUGUGUUCAGCUCGUGUCGUGAGAUGUUGGGUUAAGUCCCGCAACGAGCGCACCCCUUGAUUUUAGUGGCCAGCCUUCAAUUGGGCCAUUUAAGGGGGCUGCCGGGGGCCAACCGGAGGAAGGGGGGGGAGGAGUCAAAUUCUCCUGCCCCUUUAGACGUGGGGUACCCCCGGUCAUCAAAGGACAGAACAAAGGGCAUGGAAACCCGGAGGGUAAACCAAUCCCACAAAUCCUUUUCAGUUCGGAUCGCAGUUUGCAAAUUGACUGCGGGAAAGUGGAAUUGGUAGUAAUUCGGGAUCAGCCAGCCGCGGGGAAAUAGUUUCCGGGCCUUUGUACACCCCCCCCGCCCCCCCAGGGAGUGGUCCACCCAAAAGUAGGUAGCGUAACCGCUAGGACCCGCGCAAUUCCCGGACACCCUCC
rnacentral:rRNA from 1 species